GAGAAAAAGCACUGUAGUUUGAAACAACAAACAUGUUUGUUGAAUGGUGAUCUAAUUAAAUAGUAAAUUCAAACUGUAAAUCCGUUGUUUGGAUCUGUAGUUUUGGUUUAAAAUAACCACCCAUGUCAGUUGUUUCUACUAAUCAGCACAAUGGUGUAAACAACUGAAAUUUUGGUUAUUUUUAACUAACAUGGAAGUUGUUUUCUACUGAGCCGUUAGUUGAUUUUACUAAACAUUAGUUUGUUCACUUUGGGCAUGGUCUGUGGAAAGCAAACUGAAAUAUUAGUUGAAUUCAACCGGCAUAACGGUUUGAGUUGAACUAAUAUUUUGGUUGUAGAAAUAACAACUAAAAUAUCGGUUUGAAUCGAACUAAGUUAUCAGUUUGUUAAAUUCCUCAGUCUCGCGCCGCUUCUCUACUGUUAACAGACAAAUGUCUUUCUUUGUCUGCACCGGCACAACCAACCGCCAUUACUUCUACUCGUAGUUCGUAAAUAAUCAGUGCAAUCAUAAUAAGUGCAUUAUUUUCAUAUUUAUUUGAUUUUUAGCAAGUGCCAACGCUAUGUGGUCGUUCCCCAUCACAGGACGGUACGCAUUUUUUGGGAGAGUAGAUCGAAGCGCAAGCUUCAUGAUCUUCGACAUACCGCUAGCUCUUUCGGCAACAACAGUGAAUUCAAAGAAAUUUACUCUGCCUCUGCAGAACACCGCCUGGUUCGAUGCUUGUUUAUCAAUUUCAUCGAGUACCAUCAGGAUAACGUAUGGAUUAUCCCUUCCGGAGACGAUAUUUCUACAACGUAAUUAUGGAAACCAGCUUGAAGUCAGCCGUCAUGCAGCUGGAUUAGUGAAAGUGAUCGCCAAUAAACAUUUCUAGUGCGAUGGACCGGAAGAAAACUGAAGUGUGAAGUAUUCCACAAAUUAAAACAAGAAUAAAUAAAAUGUUACAGCAUGCCGAACA